UGAGCAAUCUGCCCUUCUCUUCGGAAUAAGCGUUGGAAACGACGUCUAAUGCCGAAUACGACCUCCUUUCGCAUGAUCGGAGGUGGAAAGCUCCGGCGGAGAAGGAUGAGCUCGCGGCCUAUCAGCUAGUUGGUGUGGGUAAUGGCCCACCAAGGCGACGACGGGUAGCCGGCCUGAGAGGGUGACCCGGCCACACUGGGACUGAGACACGGCCCAGACCUCCGUACGGGAGGNAGCG
rnacentral:rRNA from 1 species